AGAGAGUGAGGGAGGCGUGGAAGAAUCAAAAGGGCAAAAUUCAGAAUUCAGAUUACAGAAGCGGAGCAGGCAUAUAUAGGGAGGCUUCUCUAUUUUACUUCCGAAUAGAAUGGAGAGACGACCAAGAGAGAGCUUAUUCACUUCUCUUCUUUGCUCUUUAUAAAAUCCUCAUAUCGAUCUUUUCUUCUCUCUAUAAUUUGGUCUUCUUUCUUUGAUUCUCACUCAAAUCAAUAAACUCUACCCCUGUUUCAUAAUUCGAUUUCGAUCUUUUCUACAGAAAGAUUUAAAUUUUCCUCAGAACAAUCUCCUUUAAGUUCAAAUCGAACUGCUUAUUGGGUUUCUUGAAAAAGAAAACUUUCGCAUUUCUUUAGGGUUUUAGAAUCCCUCUCGGUGAUAGAAAGUAUUUUGAAGAUAUUGGUAUCUAGGGUUAAGUUGGAUUUAUCAAGGCUGGCGGUUUUCAAGGUCCAGUGAUGGCGGAUCCGCCUGGUUUCCGCCUCUCUUUGGGAUUAAGUUAUACGUUCGGAGCUAAGGAGGUUUUAGCGUCUGGGUUAGGGUUUGGGUCUGUGGAUCGUGGAGAGGAAUUGUUGGAGUGGGAAGCAUGCUGAACGUGCUGAGGGUGCACCUUCCGUCCGACAUUCCAAUCGUAGGCUGUGAGCUUACGCCGUAUGUGCUGUUGCGGCGACCAGAUAACUCCAUCACUACCGAUGAUGUUCCUGAAUCAGCGCCACUUGAUGGAUUCUACUUGAGGUACAAGUGGUAUCGGAUACAAAGUGACAGAAAAGUUGCUGUGUGCAGUAUACAUCCCUCUGAAACAGCUACUUUGCAGUGCUUAGGUUGUGUUAAAGCAAAGAUACCUGUUGCCAAAAGUUAUCACUGCUCACCUAGGUGCUUUUCAGAUGCAUGGCAACAUCAUCGUGUUCUUCAUGAUCGUGCGGCUAGUGCUGUAAAUGAAAAUGGAGCUGAGGAGGAAGAGUUGUUUGGGCGCUUUAAUAGCUCCGGGUCGGGAGUAACCAAUACAAGCUUAUCUAGUUCAACAUCAAGCAUAGGACAUAGUUCUAGCUUGAAUAAUGGUUCUGCACCUUUAUAUCCUGCUGCUGUUACAGAGAGAAGUGGUGGUGAAACCUGGUUUGAAGUUGGCCGUUCCAAAACAUAUACUCCAACUGCUGAUGAUAUUGGCCAUGUUCUUAAGUUUGAAUGUGUAGCUGUAGACACAGAGUCUAAAUUGCCUGUUGGACAUGUUAACACUAUUUUGACUUCCCGUGUCAUCCCAGCUCCCUCACCUAGUCCUCGCCGUUUGAUUCCAGUUAGUGGAGUUGAUGUAGUUGGGCAUUUGGAUUCAAAUGGACGUACUGCAUCCUCAGAAACCUUCACUGUGCUGUCAUACAACAUUCUUUCUGAUGCAUAUGCCACAAGUGAAUCAUACAGUUACUGCCCUUCUUGGGCCCUUUCCUGGCCUUACCGCAGACAGAAUUUGUUGCGAGAAAUUGUUGGCUACCGCGCAGACAUCAUUUGUCUUCAAGAGGUUCAAAGUGAUCAUUUUGAAGGAUUUUUCACUCCUGAGCUUGACAAACAUGGUUAUCAAGCUCUAUACAAAAAGAGAACAACUGAGGUUUAUGGUGGAAGUGCUUAUGCAAUUGAUGGUUGUGCAAUAUUUUUCCGCAGAGACAGAUUUACGCAUGUCAAAAAAUAUGAGGUUGAAUUUAAUAAGGCUGCACAAUCUCUGACUGAUGCAGUAAUACCAAUUACUCAAAAGAAAGCUGCUUUAAAUAGACUGCUUAAGGAUAAUGUUGCACUUAUAGCAGUUCUAGAGGCAAAAUUUAUUACUGACAGGCGUCAGCUUCUUUGUGUGGCAAAUACGCAUCUAAAUGUUCACCAAGAUCUCAAGGAUGUUAAGCUCUGGCAGGUCCAUACUCUUUUAAAAGGAUUGGAGAAGAUAGCAAGCAGUGCUGAGAUUCCGAUGUUGGUUUGUGGAGAUUUUAAUUCAGUGCCUGGAAGUGCUCCUCAUGCACUUCUUGCAAUGGGAAAAGUUGAUCCAAUGCAUCGAGAUUUAGAAGUAGAUCCCCUUGGAAUUUUUCACUCUGAGAGGAAGUUAACCCACAAGCUACCUCUGGUCAGUGCCUACUCAUCGUUUGCAAGACUGGGCGUUGGUCUUGGUUUUGAGCAACAAAGGAGGAGAAUGGACCCCACAUCAUAUGAACCUUUAUUUACACAUUGCACUAGAGAUUUUAUAGGAACUCUUGAUUACAUAUUUUAUACAGAUAUGAAACGGGAAACCAUCCUGAUAUACAAUCACUUGCCUUGUGGUUUCAGCGGAUUCUUUAACUGUAGAAUCCUUAUUGGAGCUCUUGGAUGAGGAGACUGUACGGAAAGACACAGCACUUCCUUCUCCAGAGUGGUCUUCUGAUCAUAUAGCACUUUUAGCAGAAUUCCGCUGUAAGCCACCUAGAACAAGACGUUAAUGCUACAAGGUCUCAGGACAGGCUUCCCAGAAAAAUAGUUCGGUGAACAUUUCGAUUCAAUCAAGAUAGAUAUUCAAGGAGGGGGAGGAUCACGCUCCGUCUCUUCAAUCCGGUGUUUCAUUAUGGGACCCAAUCGUGAUCUACUUGUAUCAUGCCAUCCUUUUAAUUUAAUCAUCCUUUUUCUUUUGGGUAAAAAGCAUGCCAUCCUUAGCAGUUCUCAUAUAAAAAAACUGUUCUCAUUCAAAAUUUCCAGGCUUAUUUGUUGCCCCACCCAAGCAUAAAAUUUUAUUAAGAAAGGUCCCCCAGGUCUAAAUGUUCUAGUUUC